UCAUCUUGCGAGAAAUCGGAUUGGUCUGGUUCAAAAAUAUGAGAAGAGUCACCAGGCUCCAAAAAUGAAUGAGGGCUAUCGGAAUCGAACACAUCGCUUUUUGCUGAACUUGCCUCUUCUUGUUUGGGAGUCACCCGUAAUGAUGCAUCGGAAACCACUUCAGGGACAGUUUUAGGAACUGGGUUCUGAAGUUCUACAUUGG
rnacentral:misc_RNA from 1 species